ensembl:lincRNA Gm7598 predicted gene 7598
ACAGUUCUCUGUUUGCAUUUACUUGCCAGAACAUCUGUUGGAAUCUACUUCUGCAGAAGACCAGGUGAAACAACUAGCCUCAAAGGACUGAGUAACUACUAGACUAUUGGAUUUCCCAUCCACAGCUGCCCAUUAGUUGGACUACAGACUAGCUUCUUCACUUGUUCAUUGAACAGGAAGAGAAGAUGUUGGAACAGAAAGUUUUAAACAAAUACUACCCACCUGACUUUGACUCAGCGAAGAUCCUGAAACUCAAGCUACCAAAGGACCGGCAGUAUGUGGUGCAGCUGAUGGCCCUCUUCAACAUGAGGUUUAAGACAUGUGGAGAAUGCAUCCACAAGGGGAAGAAGUUCAACACGCAAAAGGAAACAGUCCAGAGCGAGGCAUAACUGGGCCUGCCAAUCUUCCGAUUCUACAUCAAGUGCACAUGCUGCUUGGCCGAGAUCAUCUUCAAGACAGACCAGAGAACACGGACUACACCUUAGAGCACGGGGCCAGGCGCAACGGCCGGGAAGCUUCUGGAAGAGGAGGAGAAGCGCGUGCAGAAGGAGCGAGAGGAUGAGGAACUGAACAACCCCAUGAAGGCACGUGGACUUUGAGGCCAUGCUGCGGCAACACCGCCUGUCUCAGGAGCAGUGGUGACAGCAGCAGGAGGAGGAAGAAAAGCAGGAGACAGCGGCCUUGCUGGAGGAGGCUUGUCAUUGAAGGCUUCCGGAGGACUCUGACUCAGAGGAUGAGGCUCCACCUUCCCGACCACAGGCAGCUGUAAGACCCAACCCCACAGCCAUCCUCGACAAGGUACCAAAGACCAAGAGGAAAAACAGAGGCCCUGUGCAGCAAAGCACAGUUGGCAGGCUUGGUUGUACCAAAGAAUGACGGAGGCCAGCAGGGGCUCAGAGCAAGCAGGUCCGGGUGCCAGCCGCUGGUGCCCCCAAGAGCAGAAACGUGGCCAACCCUACACCCCAGACACCUGGUGCCUCCUCUCUGAGCUAGCUGGGUGCAUAUGGGCACAGCGAGGACAGAGACAGCUGAGCACCACUGAUGCUCACCCUGGCAUCAUAGACCCAAGAAAUGAGGAAAUGGGAUCAAGGAAACACCUUCAGCAAAGGCCUCUGGACCAUUUCUGCCAUGGGUCCUGACAAGGUGUGGAGAAGCAAUGUACCCAGGCACCCCAGGACAGAAAGCAAACAACAAAAAAGCAGUUACCCAUUAUGCCUAAGCCAUGUUGGGUGCCACCUGUAGGCAUGAAUUUUUUGCAACCUAAUUUUAAUAGGGUUCAACCUCUUCUCUAGCCCACCACCCAGCAAGAGGUAGUGGAAGACAAAAGUUAUUAGAAUAGGGGGAAGUGGACCUGUUCAGCAAUAGUUCUUUGGGGACAAGCUUGGUCUUCUUGGGCAGCAGUUCAGUCCUGUAGCAAACAUCAUGACUCAGCAGCGGCAGACCCGUCCUCUAGGCAGGCAGAUGCCAGGCAGCUGUAGUUCAAUCCUGAAGAAACUGCCAGGCUCUUCAUCUGGCUUUAGGAGAGGCCACAGAGGCGGCGAGGAACCUCAUGAGCCAUUCUUGGGUGAUAACGCUCAAUGGCAGCGUUAUCACCAGCUCAGCUCAACAGCACUGUGUAAGGUGACACCAAUGCAUUCGUGUCUUGAGCGAAGAAAGCAAACCAAACCAAGGCUCACUGCUCAUCUCCCACUGGUCUGUGGGGGCAUAUUUAUACUCCUUCAUCAAGUGUCCUUUCACGUGUUUGCCUUAGCAAGACGUCCUUUCACCUGUGUGCCCCAGCAAAACAUCGUUUGACAUAACUAACUUUCCAAAGAACUAAAGGAUUCCAGUUUAUGUGGGUAUGGGGUUGGGGAUUGGGAGGGGCUAGUUAGUGAGUGUCAUCAGAGUGAAGUUGCCCCAUCUUUGAGGACUUUUACAAGUCAAACAAGAUAAAAGGGAUAGUGUUGAUAGGUUGGAAUGGUACCUGAUAUAUGGUACUAUGAAGUAAGUAGUACUUAUUUUAUUUUGUCAUUAUCAUUGGUGGCACAGCUAUCUAUCUUGUAGUAUCAUUGUGAGCAGAGUAUUAAAUGAAAUGAAAUAACAAAGUUCCUAGCAGAUACCCUGAGACACAAGACACAGCUGGAAUUAAUUCCUGUCCUCCUUCUGAGGGUUCCUUCCCAAUCCAGUCCACUCCGUGAAGCUUUCCCCUGCUUCAUGCCCCCUGGCUCACAACAUGGAGACACUUUUGUUAUUUUGGGACCUCAUGGGUGAAGCAUGACUACCAAGGAUACAGGUUGUUGUGGGAGACCUGACUUCUUCCCACUGAGUUUCAGGGAAGCAAGUAAGCUUGCCUAGAGGUAGCAUCCCAGACAACAGAUGCUGAAGUUGAGCUCUCUGUGCUCCUUUAGUUAAGAAUAGCCCCAUGUGCUUGUAUGGAUGAAUAUUUGGUCCCAAAUUAGUGAACUAUUUUGGGAGGAUUAGGAGAUGUCGCCUUGUUGGAGGAGGUGUGUCAAUGGGAGUAGGCUUUGGAGUUUCAAAAACCCAUGCCUAGUACUACCUGAGGAUCCAGAUAUACCACUCUCCUGGGCAUUAUACCCAGAAGAUGUUCCAUCAUGUAAUAAGAACACAUGCUCCACUAUGCUCAUAGCAGCCUUAUUUAUAAUAGCCAGAAGCUGGAAAGAACCCAGAUGCCCCUCAACAGAGGAAUGGAUANNNNNNNNNNNNNNNNNNNNNNNNNNNNNNNNNNNNNNNNNNNUGAAAAACAAUGGCUUU